rnacentral:rRNA from 1 species
AUGCCCAGGGGCCAUGGUCGUGGCGGCGGGGGAAGGGGAGGGCCCGGCAUGAAGGGCGGGAGAAAGGUGGUCGUGGUGCCGCACAAGCACGACGGUGUCUUCAUCACCAAGGCCAAGGAGGACCCGCUCUGCACCAAGAACAUGGUCGCCGGGGAGUCCGUCUACGGCAAGAAGAGCGUCUCCGUCCAGCUAUUCUGUAAUCUGUUCAAUUACAGAGCUUAUGAUUAUGUGAAUGAAGCAAGGGAUCUGAGAAAAAAAAAGUUAUUCCUGCCCAUGUUUAUGUCAAGGAGCAUCACCGUCGGUGUUCAAGGAAUGCCAUUGAUUGUAUUAUCAUUAUUAUCCGUCACAAAUUUGGAUUCUGAAUUCUUUCAGAAUUCGAUUAUCUUGGAUUGA